rnacentral:rRNA from 1 species
GACGAACGCUGGCGGCGUGCUUAACACAUGCAAGUCGAACGGAAAGGCCCUGCUUGCGUGGUGUUCUCGUGUGGCGAACGGGUGUGUAACACGUGAGUACUGUGCUCUUGACUUUGGGAUACCUGCAGGAAACUGGGGAUAAUACCGGAUAGGAGCUCCUGCUGCAUGGGGGGGGUUGGAAAUUUUGGUCGGUUGGGGAUGGACUCGCGGCUUAUCAGUUUGUUGGUGGGUUAGUGGCUUACCAAGGCUCUGACGGGUAGCCGGCCUGAGAGGGUGACCGCCCACAUUGGGCCUGGGAUACGGCCCAGACUCCUACGGGAGGCAGCAGUGGGAAAUAUUGCACAAUGGGCGGAACCCUGAGGAAGCACCCCCGCGUGCGGAAUAACGGCCUUCGGUUUGAAACCCGUUUUGCCCUGGAACAAACCGUGAGUGACGGUAAUGGGAUAAGAAGCACCGGCUAACUACGUG